GAGUUUGAUCAUGGCUCAGGAUGAACGCUGGCGGCAUGCCUAAGACAUGCAAGUCGAACGAAGUGGCCCAUAGAAGUGGAGUGCUUGCACAAAGCGGAAAUGGAUUCCCACUUAGUGGCAGACGGGUGAGUAACACGUGGGUAACCUACCUCAGAGACUGGGAUAACAGUUAGAAAUGACUGCUAAUACCGGAUAAUUUGUAAAAGGAAAACUUUUUAUACUAAAAGGAGCUUCGGCUUCACUUUGAGAUGGGCUUGCGGUGUAUUAGCUAGUUGGUGGGGUAAUGGCCUACCAAGGCAACGAUGCAUAUCCGAGCUGAGAGGCUGAUCGGACACACUGGGACUGAGACACGGCCCAGACUCCUACGGGAGACAGCAGUUAGGAAUAUUCGUCAAUGGGGGAAACCCUGAACGAGCAAUGCCGCGUGAGUGAUGAAGGCCCUAUGGGUUGUAAAACUCUGUUAUUUGGGAAGAAUGACUAGUAUAGGAAAUGAUAUUAGUUUGACGGUACCUUAUCAGAAAGCCCCGGCUAACUACGUGCCAGCAGCCGCGGUAA
rnacentral:rRNA from 1 species